UACUACUUGGNAUAACCGUGGUAAUUCUAGAGCUNAAUACAUGCUACAAGCCCUGANUNNNGAAGGGGNGNNUUUAUUANAUUAAANACCAAUGCCNNNUGGGCUCCNNGGUGAAUCAUGAUAANUUCACGAAUNGCACGGCCUUGCGCNNGNGAUGGCUCAUUCAANUUUCUUCCCUAUCAACUUUCGAUGUUUGGGNAGUGNCCNNACAUGGUUGCAACGGGUAACGGANGGUUAGGGCUCGACCCCGGAGAAGGAGCCUGANNAACGGCUACUACAUCCAAGGAAGGCAGCAGGCGCGCAAAUUACCCAAUCCCGAUUCGGGGAGGUAGUGACAAUAAAUACUGAUACAGGGCUCUUUCGGGUCUUGUAAUCGGAAUGAGUACAAUUUAAAUCCCUUAACGAGGAACAAUUGGAGGGCAAGUCUGGUGCCAGCAGCCGCGGUAAUUCCAGCUCCAAUAGCGUAUAUUAAAGUUGUUGUGGUUAAAAAGCUCGUAGUUGAACCUUGGGCCUGGCUGGCCGGUCCGCCUCACCGCGUGUACUGGUCCGGCCGGGCCUUUCCCUCUGUGGAACCUCAUGCCCUUCACUGGGUGUGCUGGGGAAACAGGACUUUUACUUUGAAAAAAUUAGAGUGCUCCAGGCAGGCCUAUGCUCGAAUACAUUAGCAUGGAAUAAUAAAAUAGGACGUGCGGUUCUAUUUUGUUGGUUUCUAGGACCGCCGUAAUGAUUAAUAGGGACAGUCGGGGGCAUCAGUAUUCAAUUGUCAGAGGUGAAAUUCUUGGAUUUAUUGAAGACUAACUACUGCGAAAGCAUUUGCCAAGGAUGUUUUCAUUAAUCAGGAACGAAAGUUAGGGGAUCGAAAACGAUCAGAUACCGUUGUAGUCUUAACCAUAAACUAUGCCGACUAGGGAUCGGNNNNNNUUAUUU
rnacentral:rRNA from 1 species